AGCGUGAAGGCAAGAUCUGGAGAAGCAAGGUUCGCGAGAAGGCAAGGUUCGUGAAGGGAAGGUUCGCGAAAGGAAGUUUCAAGAAGAGGCAACGCAGACAUCUACAGGGUUUGUGAACCCUCAGAUCAACAAGCGA